GCGACGGACAUUCUGCGGCGGUUACGCAUAAACCGCCGCAAAAUGUAAACUUGAGGCGUUUUUUCAGGCGGUUAAGCAAGCCGCCGCAGUUUUCGUACAAUUUGCGGCGGGUUUUGUUUCAAUUAGUGGCGGUUUGCUUGACAUUUGUGGCGGUUAUUUCAGGGGCGGUUCAACCAGGCGCCGCAGAAUGAUUAAAUUAGAAAACCUAAAAUUAAAUCCCUCACCUCAUAUCGCGUUUCCAGAUCGCGUUUUUUCACUCUCCUCUACCUCACUUCACGUUGAACCUCUCUCAGCCUCUCUCUCAGAUCGCGAUUCCUUGACUCCUUCUCAGCGAUGGCGAACUCCAUGGCUUGAAGGUUUGUGAUUUGGAUCUGUUUGUUUUGGUUAUGAAUUAGGGCUCGAAUUUCUCUUGUUUUGGUAAAAUCGAGUGGGUUCCUGGGUUUGGUUUCUUCGAUUUCUUCCACUGUGCACGCUCUGCUUCAGAUCCAAACAAGAUCAGUAAUUUUGAGUAUCUUAUGCAACUCAAUACACUGGCUGGGCCUAGUUAUAAUGAUAUAACGCAGUAUCCUGUUUUUCCCUAGAUUCUUUCUGAUUACAGUUCAGAGAGUUUGGAUCUUUCAAAUCCUUCUUCUUAUCGAGAUCUUUCAAAGCCUGUUGGUGCACUGAACCCAGAUCGUCUGAAAAAAUUUCAUGAGAGAUAUGCUAGCUUUGAUGAUCCAGUUAUCCCCAAAUUCCAUUAUGGAUCACACUACUCAAGUGCAGGAACAGAAUUAGGGCUCAAAUUUCUCCAGUUUUGGCAAAAUUGAGUGGUUUCCUGGGUUUGGUUUCUUUGAUUUCUUCAACUGCGCACGCUCUGCUUCGGAUCCAAACAAGGCAAUAAAGGGACUGAGUGCUCUUAGAGGAUUAGUGAAGCUGCAAGCACUGAUGGCUAUUCAAAGUGUGGUUUCAGCAAGAGAAAGCAGAUUAAGCACGAAGGGUCGUCAAGGGGGUGACUAUACUCCAAUCAGGUUUUCAAUAUAGUUUUUCCUAGUUUUUUUGUAUAAAUAAUUUCUGUUAUUAGCUCUACUUUGUUGGAAGCCAUGUUUGAUGGAGUGAGUUUGAAAUGUUAAGUAUGUUGUUUAUUUAUCACCUCACUGCUAAGGAGGGCCUUCAUAGAUAUUGAUUGUCUUUGUGGUCUUUGGAGUUGAAAUCAAAUAGGUGAUGACCAUUCUCUCUGCUCUUGUUGGCUGGACUGCUCCGAAUCUGGUGAGAAUUCUAUGUUGCUGGUUUAGAUUCACAAUUCUCAUAAUUAUUUGUUUAUUCUUAGAUCCUUAAGAGAUCCUGUUCUGUGCUAUAUAUAUUGAGAUAAGAUAUUUUCCUGGUAGAUCUAUUUUUCAAGCAAAUGUUAAUUGUAUUGGGUUGGGGUGAUUUUUGUGUAGAACUGUGAUGUUAGUAUGUUCACCACUUGCCUUCUGCAGUUAUUCUUUAUAGCUUACACCGACUUUAUUUAGAAUUCAAUGUAUGUAUGGUUUCUUGGUGAUAAAGUUAUGGCUCAAACUCGAGUUUGGUUUUGUAGCGUGGUGAUUGUACAGUAUAAGGACGUGUUAUGUGACAUCAAUGAAUGUGUUUUUGGUAGACAGGAAGUUUGUAGGAUCAUGUGGAUGCGAAAGAGAUGAAAAAAAAAAAUUAGCAU